AGAGUUUGAUUCUGGCUCAGAACGAACGCUGGCGGCGUGGAUAAGACAUGCAAGUCGAACGAGAGAAUUGCUAGCUUGCUAAUAAUUCUCUAGUGGCGCACGGGUGAGUAACACGUGAGUAACCUGCCCCCGAGAGCGGGAUAGCCCUGGGAAACUGGGAUUAAUACCGCAUAGUAUCGAAAGAUUAAAGCAGCAAUGCGCUUGGGGAUGGGCUCGCGGCCUAUUAGUUAGUUGGUGAGGUAACGGCUCACCAAGGCGAUGACGGGUAGCCGGUCUGAGAGGAUGUCCGGCCACACUGGAACUGAGACACGGUCCAGACACCUACGGGUGGCAGCAGUCGAGAAUCAUUCACAAUGGGGGAAACCCUGAUGGUGUGACGCCGCGUGGGGGAAUGAAGGUCUUCGGAUUGUAAACCCCUGUCAUGUGGGAGCAAAUUAAAAAGAUAGUACCACAAGAGGAAGAGACGGCUAACUCUGUGCCAGCAGCCGCGGUAAUACAGAGGUCUCAAGCGUUGUUCGGAAUCACUGGGCGUAAAGCGUGCGUAGGCUGUUUCGUAAGUCGUGUGUGAAAGGCGCGGGCUCAACCCGCGGACGGCACAUGAUACUGCGAGACUAGAGUAAUGGAGGGGGAACCGGAAUUCUCGGUGUAGCAGUGAAAUGCGUAGAUAUCGAGAGGAACACUCGUGGCGAAGGCGGGUUCCUGGACAUUAACUGACGCUGAGGCACGAAGGCCAGGGGAGCGAAAGGGAUUAGAUACCCCUGUAGUCCUGGCAGUAAACGGUGCACGCUUGGUGUGCGGGGAAUCGACCCCCUGCGUGCCGGAGCUAACGCGUUAAGCGUGCCGCCUGGGGAGUACGGUCGCAAGAUUAAAACUCAAAGGAAUUGACGGGGACCCG
rnacentral:rRNA from 1 species